CUCUGCAGGACGGAGAGGUUGAACGGAGACGUUGACAGCGAGGACGACGACGACGAUGAAGAUGAUGACGAUAGUGGUGACGAAGACUCGUCUCCGGCUAAAGGAGAGAAGAGGAAGAGGGACCCUGAAGCCGAGGAGGAGGAAGAGGAGGAAGAUGAUGAUUAAGGACCCUGAAAACACCCCAAAAAAACCUCUGACCUCUGGCCCGGUGACCCUUCCCCCUUCCAUGACCUCCCCCUCCCCCCCCGGGGUGUGUCCCAUUUCCCACGCCCUCGUUAUCCUGCAGACCGAAACUCCGUUAAUUCAUCAAAACGACCUCGUUCUCCUUUUUUUUGGAUUUUGCAAAAAAAGUUUGUCAGGAUUCACAAACUUCAGGCUUUUUAAAUUCCUGCUAUCAUCAAAUCUCUAAAUAUUCCUUUCCAGCUCAAACAAAUGUAUUUUUAUGCACAUUUCUGAGUUUCAGAUUCACAAACCAAAAAGCUUACUGAAGAUCAUGGUUUUCAUCGAGCUGAUAUCCGAUUUCUAUCUCGUUUCAGUGUUUUCUAACAUAUUAGAAAUGCAUGUUAUUCGCCCUCAGGGAAAAACUUAAACGUUAUAUUUUAUAAACCAAAUCAUGAUAUUAUCAUUUAGGAGACAAAAAAGCAGAAAUUCUCACAUUUAUGACGCUAGAAACUGAGGAUUUGGGCAUUUCUGUUUGGAAAAUGACUAAAAAUAAUCUGGCACUAAUUGCCCUUAAAUACUCCAGCGACGUAAAGAGUUAAUUAAGCAACAACAACAACGAUUAUUUUUACAUGAAGAGUUCCUUUCACAAAGCCAAUUCAACUAAGUUGUUCAUUUGUGUUAAAAUGUGGCUUUUUGUGAAUUUCCCUCAAAUUUUUAACUCAAAACGUGCCAUUUUUCUGCAUCAAUAAGGGCUGAUUUGGGGCAUUUAUUACACAAAACCACAUUUAUUUUUGCGCUUCAGGACAUAGAAGACCAGGUGUUGUUGUUCCUGAAAACAGUGAGGGCAAAUCAUGUGGACAUUUAAAACGGUAAAGUCCUGCUGCGUUUACGAGCGAAAGCGUCGUCCUUUUUUAGGGAAAACAUUAGAAAAACACAAUAGAAACACAUUUUUUCUUGAGUUUUUUCUGUGAUCUAAACGUGAGCUUCAGUUCCCUUCUUAUUUCCUAGAUCAUAAAUAUCUAUCGUGUCACAAAAGUUGUAAAAAUCUCCUUUUUUAUUUGUGUAUUUUUUUCUUGUCAAAAUCAAUAAUUUCGUGCAAAAAAAAGCUUUAAUUCUGUGUGGACGGAAACGAGGGCUCGUGGGACGCAGAAGCCAAAUCCCUCUUUCCUCCGUAUUUUCUCCCCCUUCCUAAAAAACCCUUCCUCCUUUUCCUCUUCCUCCCCCGAGGCCGAGUCGCUCAGGGCAAACUGUGUUCUCUCUUUUUUGCCAACAGAGCUUUUUAAAAGAAAUAUUUUUUCAGAGAAAUUGUUUUUUUGUUUAAUUUUUCGUAUGGUUGUCUGGGGACACUCUCUCUUUGUCCCUCCCCCCCAUCUUCCUCUUCUUCAUCUCUCCCCAAUGUAUGCCUCCUCUUCCUCCGUCGAGAGAUCCUUGACACUUACACUGACUAGUUGACGUGUUUUCUUUUUUUUUUUUACUUUCUGUAAGUUAAAGGAAAAACAAACAAAAAAAAAACACACAAAAAGGACUUUGUAAAUAAAAUCUUAACAUUUUGCUCCUGGCGUCUCCUCUCGUGCGUUUUGUCUCUAACGCCAUUUUAUUUCACAGGUUUCUCCUUCAAAAUGUUUGCUUUUAGACAUUUUGUAAGAAGGUCUGCAGUAUAGAUAUUAAAAAAAUAUUUGGAAAA